rnacentral:rRNA from 1 species
CGGGUGAGUAACGCGUGAGGAACCUGCCUCAAAGAGGGGGACAACAGUUGGAAACGACUGCUAAUACCGCAUAAGCCCACGGCUCGGCAUCGAGCAGAGGGAAAAGGAGCAAUCCGCUUUGAGAUGGCCUCGCGUCCGAUUAGCUAGUUGGUGAGGUAACGGCCCACCAAGGCGACGAUCGGUAGCCGGACUGAGAGGUUGAACGACCACAUUGGGACUGAGACACGGCCCAG